rnacentral:lncRNA from 1 species
UGAGUACUUACAGUUAAAGUUUAACUUUUCUCUAUGCUUAAGGGUUUUCAUAGUAAAAUACUUGAAAAUUUACAUGUUCAUGAUGUUUUCUGGUAAAGUAUAUGUGAAUGAAAAACUGGAAAUAAAUGACCUGAAUGGGCAUUUGUGCUAAGAAAAAAAAGUUAGGUAUAGUUAUUUUUUCUUGCUUCUUAUAAUUUUAGAACAUCGUAAAAAGUAAAGGCAAAGUGGUUUUAGCAAAAUUGGUCCCAAAAUAAAUCCUUGAUCAGAAUAAGGGAGAGUGGCGACUUAGACAUUUGCUACCUGUAUUAUUUCGUAUAAAUUAUUUAGUUGUAAAUUCCUUUUCAGGAACCUGUGACCAACAAUACUACCAACUUUCUAAAUGUAUCAUAAGGACUCAGUGUUUUAAUGCAGUGAUUCCUCAAACCUGUGCAAGAAACCAACUCAGCAAACCCUGAUGACUUGAGACUCCACAAAGGGCUGAUGAACAAGAGCAUGCAAGGAAUCUGUUGGAGAUGGUUUCAAGAUGUAGAACUCUUAUAUGUGAAGUAUCCCUAAUGAAGUUGGAACAUCCACGUUGAAAUUGCUUCAUGUUUUGGUAAGAUGAAAUGAUUCUUAAUAUGUUGGCCUUUGGAGAAUGUGAUGAGAACUGUGCUUGUGUAUAUAUGUAUGAUGUAUAAAUA